CCACAGGGACAGGGAGAGAGAGGAAUUAGGCCAGGUCACAGAUGAACAGUGUUCUAGAAUUCUAGGGUCAGCAGGGAUUUUGAGAAGUCAGGGCGUCCAUUCCUCUGUCUCCAGGAAUGAUUCACCUUUCCCCAAUAAUAUGGACCAUGAUAGAGCGAGUUUGUUCUAUUUUACAGAAUACUGGAAGACAGGUUUUUCUGUAGAUCAACACUUUGCAAACACCUGUCCACUCUUACACAUCUUCUCUUGGUUUUGGUUGUCAACUGAACCAUGUUUUGCCUUCUCUCCUCCCCACCCUCCCAUUCACCCAGGAGACGCGUGACAAUGUCUGGAGACUGUUUUCGUUGUUAAGACUGGAGAGGAGUUCACUACUGGCAUCUAGAAGGUAGAACCCGGGAUGUUGCUACAUACCCCAGAGUGACAGGACAGCCCUGUAGCCAAAAAUUAUCUGCCCCAAAAUUGAAUAUGCCAAGGUUGAGAAACUUUACAGAAGAGAGAAGGGCAGUCAUCCUUUGUAUAUUGCUGUCACUGUGUGGAUGGGAAGGUGAUUGAAAGUUAACAAAAACUGCCUGACGGAAUAAACAGGAAGACAUCAAUGGACUCUCCUUCCAGAUGAGAAGCCCAGUGCAAAGCUUCAGGCCAGGUGGUAUCUAGCUGAUGAAAAGAGAUCAUGGGGACUCUGUUUCUA